rnacentral:rRNA from 1 species
AUUGAACGCUGGCGGCAGGCCUAACACAUGCAAGUCGAACGGUAACAGGAAGCAGCUUGCUGCUUUGCUGACGAGUGGCGGACGGGUGAGUAAUGUCUGGGAAACUGCCUGAUGGAGGGGGAUAACUACUGGAAACGGUAGCUAAUACCGCAUAACGUCGCAAGACCAAAGAGGGGGACCUUCGGGCCUCUUGCCAUCGGAUGUGCCCAGAUGGGAUUAGCUAGUAGGUGGGGUAACGGCUCACCUAGGCGACGAUCCCUAGCUGGUCUGAGAGGAUGACCAGCCACACUGGAACUGAGACACGGUCCAGACUCCUACGGGAGGCAGCAGUGGGGAAUAUUGCACAAUGGGCGCAAGCCUGAU